rnacentral:rRNA from 1 species
AAGUUGCCUUUAAGGCCUUGGUGUGCAUUUCUGUUAGCAGAUUUAUCAUUAAAAUUUAAUGGUGAAUUUGUUUAGGGUUGAAACGAACCGGUACGAAAUUGAGUUUACUUUGACAAAAUUAGAAUGUUCAUAGCGAGUUCUAAUAUAAAUGGCUCUGCUAAAAUAUCAAGGAAUAAAGGAAUAUGACUUUGUUUGCCUUUUUUAAGGUUUUGAGGUUCCUAAAGUAAUGAUUAAAAAGGACUGCCGGGGGCAUUAGUAUUGCGUGGCGAGAGGUGAAAUUCUUAGACCCAUGCAAGACUACCAACAGCGAAAGCAUUUGCCAAGAAUGUCUUUAUUAAUCUAGUACCAAAGUUGGAGGUUCGAAGGCGAUCAGAUACCGCCCUAGUUUCAACCCUAAACUAUGUUGACCAGCGAUCCGCUUGCGUCAUAGCAAAAUAGGACCCUGCGGGAACCCCCCGGGAAACCAAAGUUU